GACAGAGGUGCCGAGCGUUAGGCGGAAUCACUGGGCUUAAAGCGUGUGUAGGCGGGUCGUUAAGUGUCGUGUGAAAUCCCCCGGCUCAACCGGGGAAUGGCUGGGCAUACUGGCGAUCUUGAGCAGUCUAGGGGCAGAUGGAACAAGUGGUGGAGCGGUGAAAUGCGUAGAUAUCACUUGGAACGCCGAAGGUGAAGACAGUCUGCUGGGGACUUGCUGACGCUGAGACACGAAAGCCAGGGGAGCGAACGGG
rnacentral:rRNA from 1 species